AUUGAACGCUGGCGGCAUGCUUUACACAUGCAAGUCGGACGACAGCACAGAGAAGCUUGCUUCUUGGGUGGCGAGUGGCGAACGGGUGAGUAAUAUAUCGGAACGUACCGAGUAAUGGGGGAUAACUAAUCGAAAGAUUAGCUAAUACCGCAUAUUCUCUGAGGAGGAAAGCAGGGGACCUUCGGGCCUUGCGUUAUUCGAGCGGCCGAUAUCUGAUUAGCUAGUUGGUGGGGUAAAGGCCUACCAAGGCGACGAUCAGUAGCGGGUCUGAGAGGAUGAUCCGCCACACUGGGACUGAGACACGGCCCAGACUCCUACGGGAGGCAGCAGUGGGGAAUUUUGGACAAUGGGCGCAAGCCUGAUCCAGCCAUGCCGCGUGUCUGAAGGAGGCCUUCGGGUUGUAAAGGACUUUUGCCAGGGAAGAAAAGGACAGGGUUAAUACCCCUGUUUGAU
rnacentral:rRNA from 1 species